rnacentral:rRNA from 1 species
GUCGGCUCUUCUCAUCCUGGGGCUGGAGCAGGUCCCAAGGGUUAGGCUGUUCGCCUAUUAAAGAGGAACGCGAGCUGGGUUCAGAACGUCGUGAGACAGUUCGGUCCCUAUCCGUCGCGCACGCAAGAGUUUUGAAGAAAGUUGUCCCUAGUACGAGAGGACCGGGAUGAACGAACCGCUGGUGUGCCAGUUGUCCUGCCAAGGGCACGGCUGGUUAGCUACGUUCGGAAAGGAUAAGCACUGAAAGCAUCUAAGUGCGAAGCCUCUUCUAAGAUAAGAACUCUCACCGGAUUAACCGGGUAAGACUCCUUAUAGAACAUGAGGUUGAUAGGUCAGAAGUGUAAGUACAGUAAUGUAUGUAGCUGACUGAUACUAAUAAGUCGAGGGCUUGAACUG